AUGUCUAAAUUGAGAUGGAACGGGUAUGAUGGAGCUUCUAACAUGAGAGGACAAUUUUGUGGGUUGCAAAAGUUGAUACAAGAUGAAAAUCCUUAUGCAUUUCAUAUCCAUUGUUUUGCCCAUCAGUUGCAGUUAGUGGUUGCUGAUGUUGCCAAGUGUUGUUCCUCUGUAGUGGAUUUCUUUAACCACAUAACUUUGAUUGUCAAUACCAUCCAUACUUCUUGUAAGAGACAUGAUGAAUUAAACCAACAACAACAUGACAAUAUUGUAAGCCAAUUGGAGUUCGGGGAAAAUAAUUCAGUAAGAGGGAAAAACAAACAACCAACCUUGUUCGACCUGGGGAUACACGGUGGGGCACACAUCAUACAACUUUCUGUCGAUUUCUAA
rnacentral:rRNA from 1 species